AAACUUUGGUCAUUCGUCAGUGAACCGUCCGCGCUUAACGGUCUGAUCGCGGGCCUCUCUCGUUUUACAACUCGCAGCGUAGCGUCUUCUUCUUCGCCGAAGAACGAACGUUUUACAAGCCAGCAACAACAAAGAAAGAAAAGAAAAGUAAAGAAAAAGAAAUAUAUAGAAAGAAAAUUUAAAGCGUCGCCUCUUUGCAUUUUUUGUUUAUCUACGCGUGUGUGCGUGUGGCGCUGUGCCUGUGUGCGUGUUACCAUUUGCAUUUUCGGGCUUUCGUCUUGUUUUCGCCUCCAAUUGACGUCGCGUCUGCUUUGCACUGCGCGUGCAGUUCCGUUCCGUUCCGAUCAGUUCGGUUCGGUUCGCCUUCAAAAAUUAUUAUUACUAAUUGUUGUUGUUGUUCUCGCGCGUGCUAAGAAAGGCAACGAAAAGUGCAGCAAAAUUUCACUUAAGAAGUGCUCGAAAAAAGUGUUCGAAAAUAAAUAAGAAAAAAAAAUUAAAAGAAAAAACGGCACAAGUUCUGUUUGCCAAGUUAUUAACAUUGUGUUCAUAAUUCCGCUGUCUGCACAAAAUACAAAUAAAUAUUUACAGAAUACAAGCUCAAAUAGAAAGCAACCAAUUUUCACAGCUAACACAGCAACAACAACAACAACAGCAACAACAGCAGCAGCAAGAGCAACAAUAGCAACAGUAUUCAGCAUCAACUAGCGGAAUAAUACAUGAAACUUAAAUAAAAGAGCAUUUAAAGGCCAACAAUCGAUAGCCAAAUGCACUCCGUUCACAGCAGCGAGCCGAAAAAUCUCUGAGGCGGGCGAGCAGCAACACUUGAUAGCCACGAACUCAAGCCGAGAGCUAGCCAGACAGAGUGAGAGAGAGAGAGAGAGUGAGAGAGUGAGAGUGAGCGAGACAAACUACAUCAAAGCUAUUAAUUCAA